rnacentral:rRNA from 1 species
UUAAGUGACUAAGCGUACACGGUGGAUGCCUAGGCAGUCAGAGGCGAUGAAGGGCGUGCUAAUCUGCGAAAAGCGUCGGUAAGGUGAUAUGAACCGUUAUAACCGGCGAUACCCGAAUGGGGAAACCCAGUGUGUUUCGACACACUAUCAUGUCAUGAAUACAUAGUGGCAUGAGGCGAACCGGGGGAACUGAAACAUCUAAGUACCCCGAGGAAAAGAAAUCAACCGAGAUUCCCCCAGUAGCGGCGAGCGAACGGGGAGGAGCCCAGAACCUGAAUCGGCUUGUGUGUUAGUGGAAGCGUCUGGAAAGUCGCGCAGCAAAGGGUGAUAGCCCCGUACACUAAAAUGCACAGGUCGUGAGUUCGAUGAGUAGGGCGGGACACGUGACAUCCUGUCUGAAUAUGGGGGGACCAUCCUCCAAGGCUAAAUACUCCUGACUGACCGAUAGUGAACCAGUACCGUGAGGGAAAGGCGAAAAGAACCCCGGCGAGGGGAGUGAAAUAGAACCUGAAACCGUGUACGUACAAGCAGUGGGAGCACCUUCGUGGUGUGACUGCGUACCUUUUGUAUAAUGGGUCAGCGACUUAUAUUUUGUAGCAAGGUUAACCGUAUAGGGGAGCCGUAGGGAAACCGAGUCUUAACUGGGCGAAUAGUUGCAAGGUAUAGACCCGAAACCCGGUGAUCUAGCCAUGGGCAGGUUGAAGGUUGGGUAACACUAACUGGAGGACCGAACCGACUAAUGUUGAAAAAUUAGCGGAUGACUUGUGGCUGGGGGUGAAAGGCCAAUCAAACCGGGAGAUAGCUGGUUCUCCCCGAAAGCUAUUUAGGUAGCGCCUCGUGAACUCAUCUUCGGGGGUAGAGCACUGUUUCGGCUAGGGGGCCAUCCCGGCUUACCAAACCGAUGCAAACUCCGAAUACCGAAGAAUGUUAUCACGGGAGACACACGGCGGGUGCUAACGUCCGUCGUGAAGAGGGAAACAACCCAGACCGCCAGCUAAGGUCCCAAAGUCAUGGUUAAGUGGGAAACGAUGUGGGAAGGCAUAGACAGCCAGGAUGUUGGCUUAGAAGCAGCCAUCAUUUAAAGAAAGCGUAAUAGCUCACUGGUCGAGUCGGCCUGCGCGGAAGAUGUAACGGGGCUAAACCAUGCACCGAAGCUGCGGCAGCGACGCUUAGGCGUUGUUGGGUAGGGGAGCGUUCUGUAAGCCGUUGAAGGUGGCCUGUGAGGGUUGCUGGAGGUAUCAGAAGUGCGAAUGCUGACAUAAGUAACGAUAAAGCGGGUGAAAAGCCCGCUCGCCGGAAGACCAAGGGUUCCUGUCCAACGUUAAUCGGGGCAGGGUGAGUCGACCCCUAAGGCGAGGCUGAAAAGCGUAGUCGAUGGGAAACAGGUUAAUAUUCCUGUACUUGGUGUUACUGCGAAGGGGGGACGGAGAAGGCUAGGCUAGCCGGGCGACGGUUGUCCCGGUUUAAGCGUGUAGGGGGUGUGACCUGGUAAAUCCGGUUGCAUAUCAACCCUGAGGCGUGAUGACGAUGCACUACGGUGCAGAAGUAGUUGAUGCCCUGCUUCCAGGAAAAUCCUCUAAGCAUCAGGUAACAUUAAAUCGUACCCCAAACCGACACAGGUGGUCAGGUAGAGAAUACCAAGGCGCUUGAGAGAACUCGGGUGAAGGAACUAGGCAAAAUGGUGCCGUAACUUCGGGAGAAGGCACGCUGGCAUGUAGGUGAAGUCCCUCGCGGAUGGAGCUGAAGCCAGUCGAAGAUACCAGCUGGCUGCAACUGUUUAAUAAAAACACAGCACUGUGCAAACACGAAAGUGGACGUAUACGGUGUGACGCCUGCCCGGUGCUGGAAGGUUAAUUGAUGGGGUCAGCCGCAAGGCGAAGCUCUUGAUCGAAGCCCCAGUAAACGGCGGCCGUAACUAUAACGGUCCUAAGGUAGCGAAAUUCCUUGUCGGGUAAGUUCCGACCUGCACGAAUGGCGUAAUGAUGGCCAGGCUGUCUCCACCCGAGACUCAGUGAAAUUGAACUCGCUGUGAAGAUGCAGUGUACCCGCGGCAAGACGGAAAGACCCCGUGAACCUUUACUAUAGCUUGACACUGAACAUUGAGCCUUGAUGUGUAGGAUAGGUGGGAGGCUUUGAAGCGUGGACGCCAGUCUGCGUGGAGCCAUCCUUGAAAUACCACCCUUUAAUGUUUGAUGUUCUAACUCGGCCCCAUAAUCUGGGGUGAGGACAGUGUCUGGUGGGUAGUUUGACUGGGGCGGUCUCCUCCCAAAGAGUAACGGAGGAGCACGAAGGUUAGCUAAUCACGGUCGGACAUCGUGAGGUUAGUGCAAAGGCAUAAGCUAGCUUGACUGCGAGAGUGACGGCUCGAGCAGGUACGAAAGUAGGUCUUAGUGAUCCGGUGGUUCUGAAUGGAAGGGCCAUCGCUCAACGGAUAAAAGGUACUCCGGGGAUAACAGGCUGAUACCGCCCAAGAGUUCAUAUCGACGGCGGUGUUUGGCACCUCGAUGUCGGCUCAUCACAUCCUGGGGCUGAAGUAGGUCCCAAGGGUAUGGCUGUUCGCCAUUUAAAGUGGUACGCGAGCUGGGUUUAGAACGUCGUGAGACAGUUCGGUCCCUAUCUGCCGUGGGCGUUGGAAGAUUGAGAGGGGUUGCUCCUAGUACGAGAGGACCGGAGUGAACGCACCACUGGUGUUCGGGUUGUCAUGCCAAUGGCAUUGCCCGGUAGCUAAGUGCGGAAAAGAUAAGCGCUGAAAGCAUCUAAGCGCGAAACUUGCCUCAAGAUGAGUCUUCCCUGGGCCUUUAAG